rnacentral:rRNA from 1 species
UACGUAGGGUGCGAGCGUUGCCCGGAUUUAUUGGGCGUAAAGGGCGCGUAGGCGGCCACGCACGUCCGUUGUGAAAUCGCCCGGCUCAACUGGGCGGGGUCAGUGGAUACUGCCGGGCUAGAGUCCGGAAGAGGCGAGCGGAAUUCCUGGUGUAGCGGUGGAAUGCGCAGAUAUCAGGAGGAACACCAACGGCGAAGGCAGCUCGCUAGGACGGUACUGACGCUGAGACGCGAAAGCUAGGGGAGCAAACGGG